AUAAUAAGAGGUCAUCAGCAUAUAGUCUGUUAAAACCAAUUCCCAGCCAGCGCUCGACGUUAAUGUGAGCUUCGGGAGGGUGAAACAGAAAUAAAUACUCCCGGGCGAGUCUUGGUCCUCGUCUGCCGCCGCCUCCUCUUCCUCCUCAUGACGUUGUCCGCCAACGAGCUUGCUUCCUCGUAAAUCCAUGGCAGCUCCCACAGGGCUUUGCUCUGGAUCUUAAGGUUGUCCAUCUGGAGAAUGAAGACAGAUUGGACCUGACGUCUCCAGAAGCUGAUGGCCCAGCGGUGCUGGUGCCAGCUUUGUCUUUGCUGAUGGCUAACUGGGGACUUGGAGUGGGUAGCUGCCUCAGCAUGUGUCCAAACAGCUUCUCGUAUG